rnacentral:rRNA from 1 species
CCGGUAAGUAGUACCGACCUCGGGAGUACGCGACGCAAGUAGUGAAACGUCAAAGGAAGUUAGACGGGGACCGCGACAACGACGGUGGAGUACGUGUGGUUUAAUUCGUAAGCAACGCGAAGAACCUUACCACGGUACUUGACAUCCCGAUCGCAUUUCUAGAGAUAGAAAGUUACUUACGGUACACUCGGGUGACAAGGUGGUGCAUAGGUUGUCGUUCAGCUCGUGUCGUGAGAUGUUGGGUUAAGUCCCGCAACCGAGCGCAACCCCUAUUGUUAGUUGCCAUCAUUCAGUUGGGCACUCUAGCGAGACUGCCGGUAAUAAACCGGAGGAAGGUGGGGAUGACGUCAAAUCAUCAUGCCCCUUAUGACCUGGGCUACACAACGUGCUACAAUGGUUGGGUACAACGAGUUGCGAGUCGGUGACGGCGAGCUAAUCUCUUAAAGCCAAUCUCAGUUCGGAUUGUAGGCUGCAACUCGCCUACAUGAAGUCGGAAUCGCUAGUAAUCGCAGGUCAGCAUACUGCGGUGAAUCCG